rnacentral:rRNA from 1 species
UACAGAGGUGGCAAGCGUUGUUCGGAAUUACUGGGCGUAAAGGGCGCGUAGGCGGCCUUCUAAGUCAGACGUGAAAUCCCCCGGCUUAACCUGGGAACUGCGUCUGAUACUGGGAGGCUUGAGUAUGGGAGAGGGAUGUAGAAUUCCAGGUGUAGCGGUGAAAUGCGUAGAUAUCUGGAGGAAUACCGGUGGCGAAGGCGGCAUCAUGGACCAUAACUGACGCUGAGGCGCGAAAGCUAGGGGAGCAAACGGG